rnacentral:rRNA from 1 species
AACGAACGCUGGUGGCAGGCUUAACACAUGCAAGUCGAGCGCCCCGCAAGGGGAGCGGCAGACGGGUGAGUAACGCGUGGGAAUCUACCCAUCUCUACGGAAUAACGCAUGGAAACGUGUGCUAAUACCGUAUACGUCCUUCGGGAGAAAGAUUUAUCGGAGAUGGAUGAGCCCGCGUUGGAUUAGCUAGUUGGUGGGCUAAAGGCCUACCAAGGCGACGAUCCAUAGCUGGUCUGAGAGGAUGAUCGGCCACACUGGGACUGAGACACGGCCCAGACUCCUACGGGAGGCAGCAGUGGGGAAUAUUGGACAAUGGGCGCAAGCCUGAUCCAGCCAUGCCGCGUGAGUGAUGAAGGCCCUAGGGUUGUAGAGCUCUUUCACCGGUGAAGAUAAUGACGGUAACCGGAGAAGGAGCCCCGGCUAACUUCGUGCCAGCCGCCGCAGUAA